ACAGCUGGGUGGCUGCCGCUGAACCUGGGAACACUGGGCUCCUGAUUGUUCCCAGCCCCUGCCAGCUCCACAGAUUGCACAUCCCCAGUCAAGCCUCCUCCACUGCAGCUGGCUUCCAUGUAGUAGCUGUUCCAGAUGGGCCACCACUGCCACCAACAAGAUGAACAACAAGAAUAUAGCAAGAAACACAACUUCGGAUAUAGCAAAAAGAAAAAUGGGACUGAAAGAAAUUACCUUUCUACUUGACCCCAAGAUGUACUGUCAUGUCAUUAAUUCUGCAAAUGCAUCAGCCUGGCCUAUGUCUGGAAAACACACAGAGGAUAAUUCUAACAAUGUCAAAUCUAGUGGAAAAAGAGCCUAUUGCGAGCACCCCUAUGAGGAGAGAGGGCCAUCUGAAGACGAAUUGAUAUCUCUCAUCAACAGCCAGUAAAAUUCUGAGGCCUGCCUAUAGCUACAUGACAUCUCAAUGCAAGGUCACUUCAGAAGUCUGUAGGCUUCUAUAACAGCACACAGGAUCAAAGGAAGGACCCUCCACUCAAGAAUAAUCUGUCAUGAUUGCGGCUAAUAUCAACAUUAUCCAAGACCUUAUUUAGGUUCCUUGAAAGCUGGUAUCUGUGCAGCUUCCAUUCAGGUGGAAGGUAUUGAAAUCAUCAUAGACUGGCAAAAAUGGCCAA